GACCGUUAGUUGCUUACCUAUUUAAUAAUUUUCUUAAACAUAGUAUUAGAGAUUAUUUACAUACCUACCUAAGAUUGUUGGCAAAAUCAAUGUUAAACAUUACUUUAAAUAACAAAUUCCUUACUAAAAAUAAAGGAAAGGUUUCCGUAUUUACUUUCGUUCCGUACUUUCUUUGUGUGUUAAAUGUAUAGUACCAUAUAGAUAAUUAUUACCUCUUGUUAGUUGGUGGGUACCAAAUCUGGUUAUUUUUAUUCAUUGCCAACAGUACUAUAUAUACCUACAAAACCAUUUUGUCUCUUUAUUUUAGUGAAAAGUAAGAAGUUAUGCUUGUAUUUAAUUCUAAAUAGUACCACACGCUUGGUACCUACUGCAUUUUGUAAUUCGUAAAUGAGGAUUUUUUUUUACAUUUUGAUGUGAAAGGUGUGAUUAGCAAAUUAAAUUUAUUUUACAUUGUAUUUAACUAGACUACAUACCUACUCUUUUUCUAGAAGGUGGUUAAUUUUAAUUGUUCAUAGUUCUUACCUAAUGAUAAUAGUUGAAGUAAUUUAAAGUACCUACAGCCAGUCGUAAGAAUUGGUGUCUUGUUUUCUAAAUUACCUAUUUUAUUCUUCCUUCCUUAACGAUAUUGAAGUUUGAUGUUGUAAAUUUAGUACAAAUAUUUAUGUAGGUAUUUUAAUUGAGUUUUACUACAUAAAGUUAAACAUGUAAAGAGCAUACAGGGUGAUUCUAAAAAAUGUUAAAAAUAAUAAUUUAACCUAACUUUUAUAUUUAAAUAAUUGGGUGAUCGUUUGGACCUUUUAUUGUUUAAAUUAGUCCAGCGUGCACAUUUAAUAUUAUUCGUGGGUUUCCUUUGUGGUUGAGAAUACUUUAGAAUAAAUAUUUUGUUGUGAAAGUGAUCGUGAUCUAAGUUGUUUACGAGGCGUUAUCUUUAUUACCUACUUUCCGGUGGGUUAGAUUUAACACAAGUUUUUCCAUAUUGUUGUUACGUUAAGGAGUAGGUAUUCAUUUAUUAGCAGUUAUCGGUGAUAGGUAGUUUUUUUGUUUUGAUGUAUAGUAGGCGUUUUCUUUAUGUGUUUGAAGUGGGAGUUAAGUACAUUGUGUCCGGAUGGUACUAAUACGUCCGUACACAAGUAUUACCUUUUCGAUGUUUGGUGGUGAGUGGACGAUUUAAAAGUUCUCUUCACGUAGUUUUCUGGGUGCUGGCGUUUUAAACCAGCAUUUCAGCUUCACUGGCUGGUCGGAUUCUUGCGGAUUUAAACGGAGAAUUCUUAAUAGCAGUGUUGUACCCUUGUUGAUGCUUUGCGAUAUGACUUAAAUCAUAUGCGUGAACGUUGGCGUUCUUUUGUGUUGUCGGACCGACAGACUUGCGUCGCCUGAGACGCGGUCUGUACAGUCAACCCUUGUACUUAUGUCUAAUGUUGUGUCGAAACGUUCCGUCUUGUGUCGUACAUAGACGCAGCCGGUAUAUACGCUUCGUUGUUCUGGUGUUAUUGUCUGUUCUUUGUAUUCUUAGCUGUCACCGAUAUUUGUUAGGGAAAUUUCAUUUAGCUAUAAGCCGUCUUCCGUUAUAUCGCUUGGACGUACAGCCCGCUGUCUGGUAUAGCUCGCUGUGCCGCCAAGAAAUAUAGACGAUGCGACGUAAUGUAGUAAUUUACCUAAAAAAAAAAAAGGGGCUAUUCUUAUCUGGUUUAGUGCGUGGGUUCGAUUUGGAUGGUUUUUUUGUUAUCGAUUAUAGAUUUCGAGUUGUAGCUGUUAUAUUACCCAUAUUUCCUGUAGUUUGGAGCUGGGGACCAGCUCAAAAUUUUGCCUGCGUCAAAAUUUUCUCUGGGGAGGGGAGUACUGUAACAAUAUUUUUUCAAACCUCGUAGGUAUAUUUUUAUUUAGCUGAUAUUAUACUCAAGUAACUAUUGGUUUCGUACAGGCAGAGCCAUCUAUCGGCAGGAUUGUAUUGAUAACCCAGUUUGCUGUUAGCUAGAAUGACAAAAGAUGGCGUGUCGAUCGUCGUUAAUUUAUUUCCUUCCAAAAUCCCUUUUGAAUUUUCAUUUAUUGAAAAUAAAACUCAAUUUAUUAUUGUAUUGUUAGUUUUCGUUCCUUUUUGGAAAUAUUUUAUUACCCUCUUUAAGACAGAAGUUAAAGUUGUUGUCUAUAGGCGAAUGCAUCUCGUCACGUAUCUGUGGGCCGAGCUGUCAGCCGACACUUUGCAUAUUGGAAAGGAUGUAGACGGGUGGUUUUCAAAUUCUUCAGGGCCAAUGCGCCACAUUCUAAUUUUUAAAUCGCGAAUUAAUCGCAUAAUCGUAAGUAUUUUCUUCCAUAUUCGAAUGCAGUUUGUUGUGUUACGUUCAGUGCUAAUUCUUGUGUCCAUUAUUUUCAGAUGAUUUUAUUUUUAUAAAAUUACUGAGGACCCCUUCCAUUGACAUGAUUGCACGGAACCACAAGCCGGCUUCUUUUCUGGAAUGGGUCCUCAGAUUUGGAGGUUAACGUUCGAAGACAGAGCAGAGCUGAUGCUUCCCGAGCCUGGACCGGUGGACAGGAGGCUGUGGCGAUCGGUAUGGAAGAGCUCCCAUUCCGUGGCUGCAGCGGCCACCUCUCCUCAAUUCGGUUAGACGUCCCCCAAGGUCAGAGCGUUCCUCGUUUAUUUUUUAAAAAAGGCGCCCAACAUAAAUUAAUUUUUUAAUUAAUAAUUUACCUUUUACCCGGUCUUCCAGUACCAGAACUACUGACUCACCCCUAUGCUCUAAAUUUUAGGUAUUUGUUUUUUUUUUUUAAGUAAAUAGACUGAGCUAGCGAUAUAAUUUAUAAUAAGGGUAGUUUCAUUGCCUACCAGUUAGGCGUUACUAAGUAGUGUAUUAUUACUUUCGAAAUUAUUUUCAAAAAGUAAGUUAAUUAAAAAGUUAUUUUCUAUAUAAA